GUCAAUGCCUGAAUGGUUUCUCAGUGAAGGCCUACCUUGUUCCAGACCGAUUUCUGUCUUCUCUUUCUAGUUGAAUAGACUAGAAGACAUGUUUUAAUCUAAGAAUUAGCUGCUCUAAUUUCUCAAGCACUAGCUGUUUCUGUCUUCUCUUUCUAGUUGAAUAGACUAGUAGACUGCUGUAAAUUACUUCCACAGUCCAUUUUCUAGUUGUUUCUAAUUUAUAGUUGGGUUUGGCUUCCUAUUUAGCUCUAAGGUCUUUUAUGGUCGGUUUUCAGCUUUUCUGAAUUAGAUAUUUUAUAUGAUUAUAGGUCCUGUUGCUGGUGACAUGUUCCACUGGCAAGCAACAAUUAUGGGACCAACAGAUAGCCCCUUUGCAGGUGGUGUAUUUUUGCUAUGGUUCGACCAAGUGUGGUCUAAGGCAACUCUAAGCAUUUGAAGGAGUGCAAGCGAUCCAAGGUUGGAGUACAUACAGUGUCGCUAGGCAUGGUAUUAAUAGAUUUGCUUCUAAGGUAACUUUGGUGGCAUUUCCAAAUGCCCUAAUGCCUAUAGCUUUCCUUCUGAAAAUUAAUGUAUUUUUGAUGAGUUCUGCAAUCAUAAUAGUGCAACUGUUUAUUUCA